rnacentral:lncRNA from 1 species
UAACAUCUUUGUGGGUUUCUGUGGGAUCCAGUGUUAGUAUUUUUUGCCCAAUUGUAAAAAAUGGGUAUUUUGAAAUAUCACCAUUCUACUGUUUUGAAAGGCAUUAACACAAAUAUGUUAAAGUUACAGGAUCUCUUUUAGCUGAAAUGUAGGCAUCAGUAAAAAAAAAAAAAAAAAAAAAAAAAAAAAUCUUAUUCAUUUAGUAAUCUUUUUUUAAGCAUAACUUGCUCAGGCUGGGAGCUUUCAAAUGAUCUUGCAGAUGUCCCAUAGCUGUGGAUAUGGUUGCUGCUUUUGUUGCUAUGAUUGCAGACAGCUGUAGUGGUAGCUUGCUUGAAGAAAAAAGAAACAAUACAUCACAUGCAACAUGCAUUACUGGACACACUGUAGAACUGUGAUUCUUUUUUUCCUUUUAUUGAUUUAACAUAAAACUAACUGCUUUAAGAUGGCUGUGUUAAUGCCUUUUUGAUCAUACUUUAUGGCAAAUUAAUUACAAUUGCAGUUUUGUUUACUCUGGCAGUAAUUAUUUGUUCUACUUGCAUGCUGUGCUGCUGAUCAAUUUUAAGGGUUGCAACAAGCUAAAAGCAUACAGAAGUCAUGGCAUCUUUGACUACGGAGGCAAGAGCUUUAGAUAUUAGUCAUUCCUAUAGCUGCAGAGGUAAAACAGUAUAGAGUUAAGGCACCAAAUGUUCCAGAUAUUUUACCUGUGAUACAACACUAUUUGCUUUAAAUACUAUUUUGCUCUGAGAGCUUGUCAGUCAUCUUGUACUUCAGUAAUUGCUACUAACACCAAUUGCUAGCAAUAAUCGUUUCAUUUCUGAUCAUUCAUGCAGUAUAAGGAAGAGGUUUACUCAUUCUGCCCAGAGGCUGAACCAGCAGAGACAGCAAAGCCAAUGUGAUUCAUUAAAGGAAGACACUGGACAAUUACCACCAACUUGUUCAUAUUUUGCCUUGGAUAGCCUAAGCUGUUUGGGACUGAUUCUUGAGCAUAGUUUAUUGAUGAAAAGAAGUCUUUGGUUGAUGCUAGCUUCACCCAGGUGAAAACUAAGGUAAGAGGAGGAUAAAUUUAUGUGGGAUGAUCUGUAGUUCUAUAUGCUAAUAAAAAACUAUGAGAGGGUUACUCUGAAAAAUGC